UUACCGAUCCGAUGUUGGCACGGUUCAAUCAAGUCAAAAGUUCUCACCAGUCGAGUCCGUUGGAGUCCUUCCACUUGAUUGAGCCGUGCCAAUAUCAGAACCGCAUGC
rnacentral:pre_miRNA from 1 species